GGCUGUGGCUCAGAAAAGCAUCGCUCCUCUUCAGAGCACUGAUGGGGAAUGAGCUGACCGUUGACCACUGGUGACCACUGGCGACUACAGAGAAGGUCCUCCCGGAGAAACAAGAAAGGCAGGAGGUGCUGGGGGCAAAGGGUGGCAGUGACGCUCCCUCACCGCAGGAUCUCAGCCCCUCCCACCUCCCUUCUCCCCCAGCUCAGCCCAGUGUGUUGUCUCUGCAAACAUGGGUCCCUGUGUCCCUCAGCAUCUUCCUCCCUUGGGCAGUGGAUUUUGAGCCUUUGCAGCCUGCGUGCGUGUCUGGCUCUGCAGCAAGUGACUCAUGCUUGACUGUGGAGGCCGGGAGAGCAAAGACACCCUCAGGGCAGGGAGAAGAAAUUCGGUUACUGCAGAGGUGGGUGAGUGGGAGAUAAACACACGGAUUAAAACUUCCAUGAGCGUGAGCUCAUCCACUGAGCAACUUGCCAGGGGCCCACCAAUGAGUCAGGGACAAGCCUAUUGCUCAGACUAGAACUGGGACUGCGGGAAGUUCCAGAGAAGGGGCUCCUCUGACCUUGGCCAGGAGGGCCACCUCCUCGGGGGUCUGGCUGGGAGCUCAAGCUAGCAGCCAGGAGAGGGGCUUGUGAAAUUCUCCCCCUCCCAGGGCUGGGGCAGCCUCCUCUUAGACCAGGUCUGGAGUGGACCGGCUGGAGCCCCGGCUUGACAGGCGCGUGGACUUUGUGGCCAUGUCAGGAGGGUGCUGAGGCUAACGCAGCACGUGUGAGCUGCAGCCUGCAAGCGGGGCUCCCUCCCGUUCAGAGGCCCCGCUGGCCUCAGCUGCACUGGAGAGGGGAGGAGAGGCUGCAUGCUCUGAGCAGUGGGACGGUGGCUCACCCACAUCCGGCAUCCUGGAGAGCCUCUUCCAGGGCUGCAGCGGACACCUGAGGCUUGCAAGGGCAGCGUCAAUUCACCCCUCUCUGGGUGACAGACUAUCGUAUUCCUCUGUGGGCUCCAGAGGUGGGCAGUGGCCAGGAUCCCUGCUGAUCAGUUCAUCCAGUCCAUACCCUAGGCCAGUGACUGGCCUGCAAAGGAGUAUCUGGUCCAAUUCUAGCCAAGAACAUUUAGGAUCAGCUCUCUGCUCUUCCUUCUGAAGUGACCCCAAGAGGAUGGGGGCAUGAGCAACCAUCUUGCCACCACAGAGGGAAUCCCAGAGCUUCUGAGGGCCCCACCCAGAGCUUGAGAUUGAAGCCAGCCCAGCAGAAGGCAGACCCCAAUGAGAGAGAGAGAAACUGAGUCCUGAAGACCCAUUUGAGUCCUGGAUCCAACUGUGCCUGAAGACCAUCCUCUGAUUUUUUAGU
rnacentral:lncRNA from 1 species